rnacentral:lncRNA from 1 species
AUUAGCCUUACUGUAAACAUCCUCUCUGAUGUCGCAAUAUUAAGACUUCUGUUGCCUUGGUCCCAUCUCAUUCUGACCCUGUGCUCAUUGGCCCUUACAAUUUAAUCUGAACAAUGGAACCAGAGACAUCAGCACUGUCCAGGCUCUCUCAUGAUCUUCAACCUUCGCCAGUGGCAUUUCAUGAAAUAAAUACAGUUCAUUGUCUUAAAGAGAUCCUGAAUAAGGCAACCAUUGAGACUGCACAUUGCAACAUAAUAUCACAAAACAAAGGUAAUUGGUCUUCCUUUGAAGAAAACUGACAUUUUAUAUCUACUGAAAAUAAAAUCUUGGCAUCAAGGAAAUUUGUUCUGAAGCAUUGAGCUCCAGUCCCAUCAAGACCAAUAAUGAAGAAUUGGAAGUGUAUAAUGUGGUAUUCAUUCUUACAUUUUCUUACACAUCAGAUAAUUAUCAAUAGAGAAUUUUUAACAUAUUGUGUUCACUUAAGCAUGCUAAACUCAACAUUUUAUAAAUUGGAGACAUCUCAAUCAAACUCAAAAGAUUAAAAUAUGACCUUAAAAUGAUUUUAGAUUUUAAAUAUAUUUGCAUACAGAAGUAAAUGCAAAUAUAAGAAAUUUCAAAUGUUGGCUAACAAUGGGGGAAAACAUCACAUAGACACAGAAACUAAAGGGAAUCUGGUCACAAGUGGCAACUAAAAAAGAGCUAAUAUUUGUUGAUUGCUUCAAAUAUUCCUGGUACUACAUCAAUGAUUGUGGGCAUUAACUCACGUGUUUUCCCAUUAAUCUUAUGAUACAAGUAUUACCACUGCCAUUGUUGUAUUAAUAAGAAAACCAAGACCCAGAGAGAAUGAUACUUUUUUUCUGGGUAUCAGAAAUAGUAAGAAUUAGAAGCUUAAACUAUGAUUUAAGCUAAAAGAGUCUAACUCUAAAGAUCAGGAACAUAGUCAUUAUGCUUUGCUGAUCCCAGAACAAAAAAUCAUAAUGAAUCAAAUUGUAAGAAUAUUGCUUCUUUGUAAAUAGUCAGAGCUGCUUAUACAAGCAGAUUUACGUUUUUCUACCCUGCAUGUAUCUUCUAAAGAGGAACAGUGAGAAAAAGAAUAAUAGCUCUUCAUAAGGACUAUUUUGAUACUAAUUAUUGUUUGGAAUGUGAAUAAAAGACAUUAACAGCAGUAAUGUUUCCCGCAGUAGAUCCUAGCAAGCCUAAAGAAUAUAGAUGUCUUUUAUAUUUUAGUUCUCCUCUACUAUGUGACUAUUACUUCUAUAUUAUUUCUUCUUUUUCAUUGUAUUGAAGUUCUGUUAUUGCCUUUAAUAAAGACUUCAAUUCAGAUCAAUGAUGGUAAAUUUAUGGCAUAUAUGCUGAAAAUUUCCAUACAGUAUUCUUAGAAGGUGCUCUUCAUAAUUGCAACAUCCUUCCCUACUGAGCCAGACUUCACUUUGAAUAACUUUCAACAGAGCACACCAGAAAGUCUCUUCCAAUUGCAUUACUCUCAUCUCAUCUACAUACGGUGCUUCAAAGUGAACUUGUAUAUACACAUCAGCAAUGAGCUCUUUCAGCAAGAGCAAACAAAAAAUGCAC